rnacentral:rRNA from 1 species
UACGAAGGGGGCUAGCGUUGUUCGGAAUUACUGGGCGUAAAGCGCGCGUAGGCGGACAUUUAAGUCAGGGGUGAAAUCCCAGGGCUCAACCCUGGAACUGCCUUUGAUACUGGGUGUCUUGAGUGUGAUAGAGGUAUGUGGAACUCCGAGUGUAGAGGUGAAAUUCGUAGAUAUUCGGAAGAACACCAGUGGCGAAGGCGACAUACUGGAUCAUUACUGACGCUGAGGCUCGAAAGCGUGGGGAGCAAACAGG